GACGAACGCUGGCGGCGGGCUUAACACAUGCAAGUCGAACGGAAAGGCCCUGCUUUUGUGGGGUGCUCGAGUGGCGAACGGGUGAGGAACACGUGAGUAACCUGCCCUUGACUUUGGGGUAACUUCAGGAAACUGGGGCUAAUACCGGAUAGGAGCUCCUGCUGCAUGGUGGGGGGUGGAAAGUUUCGGCGGUGGGGGAUGGACUCGCGGCUUAUCAGCUUGUUGGUGGGGUAGUGGCUUACCAAGGCUUGACGGGUAGCCGGCCUGGGAGGGUGACCGGCCACAUUGGGACUGAGAUACGGCCCAGACUCCUACGGGAGGCAGCAGUGGGGAAUAUUGCACAAUGGGCGGAAGCCUGAUGCAGCAACGCCGCGUGCGGGAUGACGGCCUUCGGGUUGUAAACCGCUUUCGCCUGUGACGAAGCGUGAGUGACGGUAAUGGGUAAAGAAGCACCGGCUAACUACGUG
rnacentral:rRNA from 1 species